rnacentral:tRNA from 1 species
AAAGGUAAUUAGGAUUUAGAAUAAGGCUGCUAACUUUAUUCUGAGCAACUCGAAAUUGUUCUACCUUUU